rnacentral:rRNA from 1 species
GUGGGGAAUAUUGGACAAUGGGCGAAAGCCUGAUCCAGCCAUGCCGCGUGUGUGAAGAAGGUCUUCGGAUUGUAAAGCACUUUAAGUUGGGAGGAAGGGCAGUAAGUUAAUACCUUGCUGUUUUGACGUUACCGACAGAAUAAGCACCGGCUAACUUCGUGCCAGCAGCCGCGGUAAUACGAAGGGUGCAAGCGUUAAUCGGAAUUACUGGGCGUAAAGCGCGCGUAGGUGGUUUUGUAAGUUGGAGGUGAAAUCCCCGGGCUCAACCUGGGAACUGCAUCCAAAACUGCAUGACUAGAGUACGGUAGAGAGUAGUGGAAUUUCCUGUGUAGCGGUGAAAUGCGUAGAUAUAGGAAGGAACACAAGUGGCGAAGGCGACUACCUGGACUGAUACUGACACUGAGGUGCGAAAGCGUGGGGAGCAAACAGGAUUAGAAACCCCUGUAGUCC